UAAAGUGGCGAACGGGUGAGUAAUACACUCGGAACGUACCUUAUCCGCCGGGGGAUAUCUGCAGCGAAAGCUGUGCUAAUACCGCAUACGCCCUGAGUGGGUGAAAGCGGGGGAUCGCAAGACCUCGACGCGAUUAGAGCGGCCGAUGCCUGAUUAGCUAGUUGGUGGGGUAAAGGCCCACCAACGCAACGAUCAGUAGCUGGUCUGAGAGGACGAUCAGCCACACUGGGACUGAGACACGGCCCAGACUCCUACGGGAGGCAGCAGUGGGGAAUUUUGGACAAUGGGCGCAAGCCUGAUCCAGCAAUGCCGCCGUGCAGGAUGAAGGCCUUCGGGUUGUAAACUGCUUUUGUACGGAACGAAACGGUGAGCUCUAAUAAAGUUUGCUAAUGACGGUACCGUAAGAAUAAGCAACCGGCUAACUACGUGCCAGCAGACCGCAGGUAAUACGUAGGGUGCGAGCGUUAAUCGGAAUUACUGGGCGUAAAGCGUGCGCACGCGCUGUGUUAUGUAAAGACAAGAUGUGAAAUCCCCGAGGACUCAAAACUAGGUGAACCUGCAUUUGUGACUGCAUAAGACAUAGAAGAUACGGGAUAAGAGGGGGGAUGGAAAUUCCCAGCAGAU
rnacentral:rRNA from 1 species